UCAUGAUCGUGAUCAUGACCGUGAUCAUCAUUAUGGUCAUGGUUGUCGUCAUUAUCUUCAUGACCGUGAUCAUCAUUAUGGUCAUGGUUAUGG
rnacentral:misc_RNA from 1 species